UGGAGGCUAGGGUUCUGGGAUUCUUGCGUUUUGGUCGUUGCAAAUCAGAAACAUGGGGUAUUCCAAGGUGUGGAACUCUCAUCCCAAGAACUAUGGGUCUGGCUCUCGCACAUGGUUAUUGCUGAUGUUGCUUUUUGCCCCUUUGAGGCUGUGAAGGUCUGUGUCCAAACACAGCCUGGUUUUGCUAGGGGUUUGGCUGAUGGGCUCUUAAAGUUUGUGAGAUCUGAAGGAACUUUGGGGUAUGCUUACAAAGUUUCCACUGAGAUUUCACCAUCCAUUAUGAAAUUCCUUAAAAUCUUCAAAUCCAAACCCUUCAAUCUCCGAACUUUCAGUUCUCUUUCCCUUCCCACCAUCGUCACACCAAUCACCGAAUCCGAACUCUUAAAUUCCAUCGAAUCUUCUCAGUGGCAUUUCAUCAAACAUGCUGCGCCACACUACACUCCCUCUCUUCUCUCUUCCACUCUAACCUCCCUCCGCCACAAACCCCAAGUCGUCCUUCAGCUUCUCUCCCAUCUCAAUGACCACCCUCAUUCCCUCGACUUAACCACCUCUUCCCUCGCUGCUUGCAUCCUCUGUUGCCUCCCAUCUCCCAAACCCUCUAUCAACCUCUUACAGAGCCUCAUUCUAUGUUCCACUGUCACAAACAAAACUAUUUUCUAUGAGUUGGAACUUUCCCGCGACCGCGUGGAUGCCAAGACAAGUCUCAUCUUUGACCUUCUGGCCAGGGCCUAUUGUGAACUCAAGAAGCCCAAUGAGGUCUUGGAGUGUUUCUACUUGAUGAAGGAAAAGGGUGUUGAGCCCAACAUUGAGACUUGCAAUCAGAUGCUAAGUCUGUUUUUAAGACUGAACAGGACUCACAUGGCUUGGGUUUUGUAUGCUGAGAUGUUUACGAUGAAGAUAAAGUCUAGUGUGUACACUUUCAACAUCAUGGUUAAUGUCUUGUGUAAAGAAGGGAAGUUGAAGAAGGCAAAGGAGUUCAUUGAGUACAUGGAGGCUCUUGGGGUGAAGCCUAAUGUUGUCACAUAUAACACUGUUAUACAUGGACACUGUUUGAGAGGGAAGUUCCAAAUGGCCCGUGUGAUCUUUCAAACAAUGAAAGAUAAAGGUCUUGAGCCUGAUUGCUAUACGUAUAAUUCUUUCAUAUCUGGGUUGUGUAAAGAAAGAAGACUCGAGGAGGCUACUGGUUUACUUUGUAAAAUGUUAGAAAUUGGCUUGGUUCCAAAUGCAGUAACAUAUAACGCGUUGAUUGAUGGGUUUUGCAACAAAGGGGAUCUGGAUAAGGCUUUUGCAUGCAGGGAUGAGAUGAUAAGUAAAGGUGUAACGACAACUUUGGUUACAUACAAUUUGUUUAUUCAUGCACUGUUUAUGGAAGGAAGGAUGGGGGAGGCUGAUAAUAUGAUAAAAGAAAUGCGAGAAAAAGGCAUGAAGCCUGAUGCUGUUACUUAUAACAUAUUGAUUAAUGGUUAUUGUAGAUGCGGGGAUGCAAAGAGAGCCUUUAGCCUUCUUGAUGAAAUGGUGGGAAAAGGGAUUCAGCCAACUUUGGUCACGUAUACAUCACUUAUAUCUGUUUUGGGUAAAAGGAAUAGAAUGAAAGAAGCAGAUGCCUUGUUUAAUAAGGUUCAACAAGAAGGUUUGUUGGUAGAUGCUGUAAUGUUUAACGCCUUGAUCGAUGGUCAUUGUGCAAAUGGUAAUAUUGAUAGUGCAUUUCAACUCUUGAAACAGAUGGAUAACAUGAAGGUUCUUCCUGAUGAAAUCACUUAUAACACCUUGAUGCAAGGAUACUGCAGAGAGGGGAAAGUGGAAGAAGCUAAACAGCUUCUUGAUGAGAUGAAGAGAAGGGGGAUCAAACCUGAUCACAUUAGUUACAACACACUCAUUAGUGGUUACAGUAAAAGAGGUGAUAUGAAGGAUGCGUUUAGAGUUCGCGAUGAAAUGUUGACUACAGGAUUUGAUCCUACAAUUCUCACUUACAAUGCUCUUAUACAAGGUUUGUGCAAAAAUGGGGAAGGUGAGCAUGCUGAAGAGCUCCUCAAAGAAAUGGUAAGUAAAGGCAUCACUCCUGACGACAGCACCUACCUAUCUAUAAUUGAGGCCAUGGAGAAAGUUGAUGACAUGUAGGAAAAUGAUGAUAAAUGAAUUGAGGAAGAAAAUAGUAUUUCACAGUGAAUUUCUAGCAUUGGAAUUUGGACACAAGCAUGUCAACGUUCCUUGUUCUACAAGCUGAAUCAACAUUCCAUGUGUAUGAGUAACAGAUCAAACUUCCAGUUCAUCUACGAGUGGGCUUAUGUUCAAGACCUCCACAACGUGUCUGUGUCCAAGAGGUUUUGGAGAGGGAAGUUCGCUUGUCAUACUGGAACAAAGUUAAGCAGGUAAUUUAUCAAAGCUAGAACCACACUAAAUUUUACUUCUGUUGCAAAUUGUCCUAUGAUGAGACAAUUAGAUUGCAUUGCCACUCAUGAUCUUUUCAUGGUUAUGAAUGGAUUAGAUAUUUUUGUUCCUCUGUUUUUGUUAUGUAGAGGAAUAGAUGCUUUUUUAAAUAGAAUGCUUUUUUAUUUUCCAGUUUCCUUGUGAGGUAACUCACUCCAGGAUCAUAUUUCAGGUGAAUUGUUGUAGAAUCUUCUUAGAGAAUUUGAACAUAGAAAAGAGAGUGAAAAUUGAAUAAGAACAGAAUGUUUUUAUUUACUGCUUUCACACAUUGAAUCUUGUGUACAAGAGGGAUUAAUAGACACAAAUGUCUAAGAAGCUGUACAGAGACAAAAUAUACAAUGAAAGAAACAUAGCUUUUAAUUUUAAGACCAUACUCUUCCAUAGAUUUAGAUUUCAGUCUAACAACACACAUUGUAAUGCACAAUUCUUGCUAGAGACUUAGUUUGAAGUCCAAAGUAUGCAUGAAUCUUGUCCCAAACUUCAUAGAAAUGACUGGCUCCAAGCACAUGAGAAAGAACAGACUUCGAAAGUGUAGAUUGAAGUCAAACUGGUAACAUCUGAUCUUGGACCUUCCGACUUUCAUAUUCAGGAUUAAUAAUGACUAGUGGUGCGGCAAAUGAACAAUCAAACAAGAGAAAUACCAGAGAUUCAAUUUUUGGAAAACUUGCACUGACAACAUGCACAUAUCCAUAUUGUCAUUUUUUGUUUACCAUAAAAAAAUGAAUAAUGCAUUACAUGUUUAUUACCUUAGAUGUUAAAAAAGAAACGAAGACUUAUUUUUAAGCAGAAUGAUCAAAUUGUUUGCAAUGACUAAAUUGGGCAUAAUUUAAUCACUGGUAACAAUUUGGUCAUAUUGCUUAAAAAAUCAUUGUUUUUUUAAACAUCCGAUGUAAUGAAUAAAUUAUAUAUAAUUCUUGUUUAUUUCUUAUGGUCAACAAAAAAAUGAGAAUAGCUUUUGAAAACAAGAGUAUAGUUAAACACUACAGAACUUUUUUUUCAAGUUCCUCGAACUGAAUUUUUUUAUAGUAUGAGCAAAUGUUUACUUGAUUUUUUGGUGAUUUACCUUCGUUCAAUUUUACAAUUCCGAACUCGUGAACAAAAAUAAUGACAUUGUUGAAGAACCUUUUGAGAUUUGUCAUCUUCUUGAAGUCUAAGAUUUGAAAACUCAAAUGAUCUAUCUUUUAAGAAUGAUAUGUACAAUCACAUCAUUUAGUUAAUUGUAUCUUUGGUUUUUAAAGCAAGCAAUGGUGCUAGUCGACAAUUUUUUUCCAAACUGGUUUUGGAUAAAAGUAUCUUGUUUCAUUUAUUUAUUUUCAUUUGAAAAAAAAACAUAUUUCUAAGAUUUCUUUGACUAAGCUUUUGAGUGUAGUGGUAGUACACUAGUGCUGACUUUGAUCGCUGAUUAUUUUUUCCAUUUUAACCCAAAACCCAUGUUUCAUGACAUGUAUGAUAUUAAAUGAAGUGGAGGUCUUGGAGGAACAAAUCAGAUAUGGUUCUUCUCAAAGAUAUUGUGCCUGCAGCUCAUAACAACAUAGAGA